UACGUAGGGUGCAAGCGUUAAUCGGAAUUACUGGGCGUAAAGCGUGCGCAGGCGGUUUUGUAAGUCUGUCGUGAAAUCCCCGGGCUCAACCUGGGAAUUGCGAUGGAGACUGCAAGGCUAGAAUCUGGCAGAGGGGGGUAGAAUUCCACGUGUAGCAGUGAAAUGCGUAGAGAUGUGGAGGAACACCGAUGGCGAAGGCAGCCCCCUGGGUCAAGAUUGACGCUCAUGCCACGAAAGGCGUGGGGAGCAAACAAGG
rnacentral:rRNA from 1 species